GACGAACGCUGGCGGCGUGCUUAACACAUGCCAGUCGAACGGAAAGGCCCUGCUUGCCGGGUACUCGAGUGGCGAACGGGUGAGUAACACGUGGGUGAUCUGCCCUGCACUUCGGGAUAAGCCUGGGAAACUGGGUCUAAUACCGGAUAGGAGCCAUUUUUAGUGUGAUGGUUGGAAAGUUUUUUCGGUGUAGGAUGAGCUCGCGGCCUAUCAGCUUGUUGGUGGGGUAAUGGCCUACCAAGGCGGCGACGGGUAGCCGGCCUGAGAGGGUGGACGGCCACAUUGGGACUGGGAUACGGCCCAGACUCCUACGGGAGGCAGCAGUGGGGAAUAUUGCACAAUGGGCGCAAGCCUGAUGCAGCGACGCCGCGUGGGGGAUGACGGCCUUCGGGUUGUAAACUCCUUUCGCUAGGGACGAAGCUUUUUGUGACGGUACCUAGAGAAGAAGCACCGGCUAACUACGUG
rnacentral:rRNA from 1 species